rnacentral:tRNA from 1 species
GGGGCUAUAGCUCAGCUGGGAGAGCGCUACACUGGCAUUGUAGAGGCCAGCGGUUCGAUCCCGCUUAGCUCCACCA